rnacentral:rRNA from 1 species
UACGUAGGAGGCGAGCGUUGUCCGGAUUUACUGGGCGUAAAGGGCGUGUAGGCGGUAGCGCAAGUUGGGUGUGAAAGCCCCUGGCUUAACCAGGGAGGGUCAUCCGAAACUGCGCUGCUUGAGGGCAGCAGAGGAAAGUGGAAUUCCAGGUGUAGUGGUGAAAUGCGUAGAUAUCUGGAGGAACACCGGUGGCGAAGGCGGCUUUCUGGGCUGUACCUGACGCUGAGGCGCGAAAGCGUGGGGAG